GCGCGUGACGCCGGCCGCGUGAAUCACGCCCGACAAGCGGCCGUGCUCGCGCAGCAGAUCGCCGACGAGCGCCGCGACGACCGGCGCGUCGCCGACAUCGACGGACCGGUAGCGAAUAUCGACGCCGGCGGGCCGCGCGAUCGCGCCGAGCGACGCCGACAGCGCCGCGUCCGGCGCCGCCGCGCGGCCGGCGAGCACGAUCGUCGCCCGGCGCACGUGAGCCGCGAUGUCCUUCGCGAACGCGAGCCCCAGCCCGCCCGCGCCCCCCGUGAUCAGGUAGACGCCCGCCUCCUUCCACGGGCGCGGCGGUUCGUCGCGACCUGCCGGCAGCGCCUCGAAGACGAGCGACUCGCGGCGCGCGCGCCGGUAGCGCACGAAGUCCGCAUCGUCGCCGCGAUUCUCCAGCGCGCGCGCCGCCGCGUCGGCGGCCUGCGUCGCACGCUCGAGCGACAGCAGUUGCACCGACCACGACGGAUGCUCGAGGCGCGCGCCGCGCACGAGCGCCGACAGCGCGGCGAACGCGCGCUCGGGCCCGUCCGCCGGCACCAGCACCUGCACCGCCGCGCGCGGCGUCGCGCCGCUAAGCGCGAGCUCGCGAAACAGCUCGAACAGUUGCCCCGCGCUGUCCGCGAACCGGCUUUCGAGCGUCGCCGCAUCGGAAUCGAUCGCGACGAUCGACGUGUCCGGCAAGCGCGCCCGCAGCGUCGCGAGAUCGCGCCGCAGCGCCGCGCCUUCGUCGAAACCGCAGAGCACCAGCCAGUGCGCGACAUCGGCCGCGCCGGCGCUCGCGCGCUCGCCGGAAAGCGGCCGCGCGGCCCACCGCGGCCGGAACAGCCGCGGCGCCGCGACAUCGCGGCCGGACGCCUCGCGCAACGGCCGGAACGUGAGCGCGCGAAAACUCGCCCAGACGCGGCCGCGGUCGUCGCAGACAUCGAGAUCGACGGGCGCGAGCGCCGCCCGGGCGCCGUCGCGCCGACGCGCCCAGACCCACGCGCGCGCCGGGCAAGACCCGGCGCAGACGAGGCAAUCGAGCGAGAACGGCACGCAGGCGGGCGACGCGCCGAGCGCGUCGCGGCCGAUCGCGGCCGCCAUCGCAGCCUGCACCGCCGCGUCGAGCAAGCCGGGCGGCAGCCGGUGGCGCUCGCGCGCGUCCGCGAUGCAAUCGGGCAGCACGAUGUGCGCGAGCACUUCCGUCGCGCCGCGUGCGCCGCCGCGCCAGCGCAGGCCGCGCAGGCCCCGAUGCGCGGGCCCGUAGCCGAAGCCCAUCCGCUCGAACGCGCGAUGACAGUCGUGCGCGUCGCGCUCGUGCGCGCCGGGCUCGCCGUCGAACCGCGCGCGCAAGGCGUCCAGAUCGAGCGCCGGCUCGGGCGGCCCGGCCACGUCGAGCACGGUGCCGCGCGCAUGCACGCGCUCGCCGCCGCCCGCCGCAUCGGGCGGCGAGUACGCUUCGUACGCGUGGGCGCCGGGCCGGGCCGCGACGCGCCGCAGCCGCACGCCGAGCACGCGCUCGGGCGUCGCGACAUCGACGGGAUGGGUCCACGCGAGGUCGCGGAAUUCGAUCGCGGGCGCGUCCGCGCGCGCGAGCGCCGCCCAUGCGGCAUGCGCCAGUUCGAAGUGGACGACGCCCGGCAGGAUCUUCCGCCCACGCAGGCGAUGGUCGGUGAGGAAACUCGCGUCGCCGUCGAGCCGCACGCGGAACGACGCGCCGGCGGCGUCGCGCGAUUCGGCCUCGAGCCGCGGCGCGGUAGGCGUCGUCGGGCGCGGCCGGCGGCGCGGCGGCGGCGGUCGCCUCGCUCGCCUCGGCGGGCCGCGCCGCGAUCCAGUGGCGCUCGCGCGCGAACGGAUAGCACGGCAGCGGCACGCACGCGGGCCGCGCGUCGUACAGCGCGCUCCAGUUCGCGAUCCGCACGCCGUCCGCCCAGUAGCGCGCGAGCUUCGCGAGCUGCCGCUCGCGCAGCCAUGCGGACACGACCUGCUGCACGUCGGGAUUCUGAUUGACGAAAUCCGCGACGGACGUCUUCGGCGCGCCGCCGCCGACGAACGUGCCGGGCUGCGCGGCGCCCGCCGCGAACGCGCGCAGGCGCCGCACCGCUUCCUCGAGCGACGCGGCGACGAACGCGAGCCGCCACGCCAUCGCCUGGCGGCGCUGCAACGCAUGCGCGACGGCGGCGGCGGCCGGCGCGUCAUCGCCCGACUGUAGCCGGCGUUCGCAGUAGGCGAGCACGCGCCGCGCGUAUUCGGCGAGCUGCUCGCGGCAGUGCGCGGAGAGCACGAACAGCGCGUCACCCGCCGCCGCGCGCGGCGGCGCUUCGGACGGAUAUUCCUCGAGCACCACGUGGGCGUUGGCGCCGCCGGAGCCGAAGCUGCUCACGCCCGCGAGCCGGCGCGCGCCGCCGCGCGCCGGCCACGCGCGAUGCGUGUCGACGACCGCGAACGGCGUGCGCGCGAGGCUGAUCUGCGCGUUCAGCCGCGAGAAAUGGAGCGUCGCCGGCACCUCGCGGUGCUUCAGCGCGAGCACCGUCUUGAGCACGCCGGCCAGCCCGGCCGCCGCCUCCAGAUGCCCGAGAUUGCUCUUCACCGAGCCGAUUCCGCACGUGCCGCGGGCCGCCGCGUCGUCGCGCGCGCCGAACGCAUCGGCCAGGCCGCGCACCUCGAUCGGAUCGCCGAGCCGCGUGCCGGUGCCGUGCAUCUCGAGAUAGCCGAUGUCGUCGGCCGACACGCGCGCCGCGGCCCAUGCGGCGCGCAGCAGGUCCGCCUGCCGGUCGGGAUGCGGCACGGUCAACCCGCCCGUCAGGCCGCCGUGGUUGCAGGCGCUGCCGCGAAUCACCGCAUGGAUGGGAUCGCCGUCCGCGACGGCCUGCUCGAGACGCCGGAGCAUCAGCAUCACCGCGCCUUCCGAGCGCACGUAACCGUCGGCGGCAUCGUCGAGCGUCUUGCAGCGGCCCUGCGGCGACAGCAUGCCGGCCUUGUAGUACGCGAUCGUGUUGCCCGGAUGGCAGAUCACGUUGACGCCGCCGACGAGCGCCUGAUCGCACUCGCCGGCGCGCAGCGCCUGCACCGCCUGAUGCAGCGCGACGAGCGAGCUCGAGCAUGCGGUAUCGACCUGGAUG
rnacentral:rRNA from 1 species